CGGAAUUUUAGAUAAUGGGGGGAACUCUGAUCUAGCGACGCCGCGUGCAGGAAGAAGGUCUUCGGAUUGUAAACUGCUGUGGUAUGGGAAAAAUGCUAUGUAGAGUGGAAAGCUACGUAGAGGGAUGGUACCUUACUAGAAAGCCCCGGCUAACUACGUGCCAGCAGCCGCGGUAAUACGUAGGGGGCGAGCGUUACCCGGAAUCACUGGGCGUAAAGGGAGCGUAGGUGGCCUAACAUGUCAACUGUGAAAACCCGGAGCUCAACUCCGGACUUGCAGUUGAAACUGGUAGGCUUGAGGACGGUAGAGGAAGACGGAACUGCCAGUGUAGGGGUAAAAUCCUUAGAUAUUGGCAGGAACGCCGGUGACGAAGGUGGUUUUCUGGGCCGGUUCUGACACUGAUGCUCGAAAGCCAGGGGAGCGAACGG
rnacentral:rRNA from 1 species